GCGCGAAAACUUUACAAUGCUGGCAACAGCGAUAAGGGAACCUCGAGUGCCAGGUUACAAAUCUGGCUGUCGAGAUGCCUAAAAAGCAUUUCAUAGCAAGGGCCAGGCAAGACCGGUGCCAGCCGCCGCGGUAACACCGGCGGCUCGAGUGGUAACCGUUAUUAUUGGGUCUAAAGGGUCUGUAGCCGGCCGGAUAAGUCUCUUGGGAAAUCUGGCAGCUUAACUGUCAGGCUUUCAGGAGAUACUGUCUGGCUCGAGGCCGGGAGAGGUGAGAGGUACUUCAGGGGUAGGGGUGAAAUCUUGUAAUCCUUGAAGGACCACCAGUGGCGAAGGCGUCUCACCAGAACGGACCUGACGGCAAGGGACGAAAGCUAGGGGCACGAACA
rnacentral:rRNA from 1 species